GAGAGAGAGAGAGAGAUUACAAGCUAUAUCUAGAUAUUGGGUCUUGCCUUCAUAUUAUUGGUUAGUAUUAUUAUAAAUGCUCCAGUAAAGCCAUGACUCGUUUGCACUCCUGAAAUUUGAAUGCUCAUUUGAGCUUUAGAUAGAUCAAAUUGCUUGUGUGAGGUAAACGGGCUUUGAUACUAUUGAAUUUUGGGUUCCAUCUUAUAAUGUGAACCUUAUCAAGUGGCAAAGCUUAAAUUAUAAUUUCAAACAAACUUUUUAUUGCAUAUUUUGUGAGAACUGUUGCUUAAAUCUAAAUUUAAGCACUUUAAGUUCUUAAACAUUAGUUAGUAUUUUUUCUAUGUAAUCAAUGUGAGAUUUCACCCUCAAAGCUGGAGCAUUUAUAAAUUUCAAAGUGAUCACGCGAAGAUAGCACUCAUAUUAUCUCAUGCAAUAUCAAAAACUGGUCGGAAAAAGAAGGCAGAGGUCCUUGAAACUAUAUCUAAC
rnacentral:lncRNA from 1 species